GGUCAAGUGAAGAAGCGCAUACGGUGGAUGCCUUGGCAGUCAGAGGCGAUGAAAGACGUGGUAGCCUGCGAAAAGCUUCGGGGAGUCGGCAAACAGACUUUGAUCCGGAGAUCUCUGAAUGGGGGAACCCACCUAGGAUAACCUAGGUAUCUUGUACUGAAUCCAUAGGUGCAAGAGGCGAACCAGGGGAACUGAAACAUCUAAGUACCCUGAGGAAAAGAAAUCAACCGAGAUUCCCUUAGUAGUGGCGAGCGAACGGGGAUUAGCCCUUAAGCUUCAUUGAUUUUAGCGGAACGCUCUGGAAAGUGCGGCCAUAGUGGGUGAUAGCCCCGUACGCGAAAGGAUCUUUGAAGUGAAAUCGAGUAGGACGGAGCACGAGAAACUUUGUCUGAACAUGGGGGGACCAUCCUCCAAGGCUAAAUACUACUGACUGACCGAUAGUGAACCAGUACCGUGAGGGAAAGGCGAAAAGAACCCCGGAGAGGGGAGUGAAAUAGAACCUGAAACCGUAUGCGUACAAGCAGUGGGAGCCUACUUGUUAGGUGACUGCGUACCUUUUGUAUAAUGGGUCAGCGACUUAUAUUCAGUGGCAAGCUUAACCGUAUAGGGUAGGCGUAGCGAAAGCGAGUCUUAAUAGGGCGUUUAGUCGCUGGGUAUAGACCCGAAACCGGGCGAUCUAUCCAUGAGCAGGUUGAAGGUUAGGUAACACUGACUGGAGGACCGAACCCACUCCCGUUGAAAAGGUAGGGGAUGACUUGUGGAUCGGAGUGAAAGGCUAAUCAAGCUCGGAGAUAGCUGGUUCUCCUCGAAAGCUAUUUAGGUAGCGCCUCAUGUAUCACUCUGGGGGGUAGAGCACUGUUUCGGCUAGGGGGUCAUCCCGACUUACCAAACCGAUGCAAACUCCGAAUACCCAGAAGUGCCGAGCAUGGGAGACACACGGCGGGUGCUAACGUCCGUCGUGAAAAGGGAAACAACCCAGACCGCCAGCUAAGGUCCCAAAGUUGUGGUUAAGUGGUAAACGAUGUGGGAAGGCUUAGACAGCUAGGAGGUUGGCUUAGAAGCAGCCAUCCUUUAAAGAAAGCGUAAUAGCUCACUAGUCGAGUCGGCCUGCGCGGAAGAUGUAACGGGGCUCAAACCACACACCGAAGCUGCGGGUGUCACGUAAGUGACGCGGUAGAGGAGCGUUCUGUAAGCCUGUGAAGGUGAGUUGAGAAGCUUGCUGGAGGUAUCAGAAGUGCGAAUGCUGACAUGAGUAACGACAAUGGGUGUGAAAAACACCCACGCCGAAAGACCAAGGGUUCCUGCGCAACGUUAAUCGACGCAGGGUUAGUCGGUUCCUAAGGCGAGGCUGAAAAGCGUAGUCGAUGGGAAACAGGUUAAUAUUCCUGUACUUCUGGUUACUGCGAUGGAGGGACGGAGAAGGCUAGGCCAGCUUGGCGUUGGUUGUCCAAGUUUAAGGUGGUAGGCUGAAAUCUUAGGUAAAUCCGGGGUUUCAAGGCCGAGAGCUGAUGACGAGUCGUCUUUUAGAUGACGAAGUGGUUGAUGCCAUGCUUCCAAGAAAAGCUUCUAAGCUUCAGGUAACCAGGAACCGUACCCCAAACCGACACAGGUGGUCGGGUAGAGAAUACCAAGGCGCUUGAGAGAACUCGGGUGAAGGAACUAGGCAAAAUGGCACCGUAACUUCGGGAGAAGGUGCGCCGGCUAGGGUGAAGGAUUUACUCCGUAAGCUCUGGCUGGUCGAAGAUACCAGGCCGCUGCGACUGUUUAUUAAAAACACAGCACUCUGCAAACACGAAAGUGGACGUAUAGGGUGUGACGCCUGCCCGGUGCCGGAAGGUUAAUUGAUGGGGUUAGCGCAAGCGAAGCUCUUGAUCGAAGCCCCGGUAAACGGCGGCCGUAACUAUAACGGUCCUAAGGUAGCGAAAUUCCUUGUCGGGUAAGUUCCGACCUGCACGAAUGGCGUAA
rnacentral:rRNA from 1 species